rnacentral:rRNA from 1 species
GGCAAACGGGUGAGUAACACGUGGGUGACCUGCCUUCGAGUGGGGGAUAACGUUUCGAAAGGAACGCUAAUACCGCAUGACAUCCCGCUCUUGGAUGAGGGGUGAUUAAAGCCGGGGAUCGCAAGACCUGGCGCUUGAAGAGGGGCCCGCGCCUGAUUAGCUAGUUGGUGGGGUAACGGCCUACCAAGGCGACGAUCAGUAGCCGGCCUGAGAGGGCGGACGGCCACACUGGGACUGAGACACGGCCCAGACUCCUACGGGAGGCAGCAGUGGGGAAUUGUUCGCAAUGGGCGCAAGCCUGACGACGCAACGCCGCGUGGAGGAUGAAGAUCCUCGGGUCGUAAACUCCUGUCGAGCGGGACGAACAUCUUCCGGGGGACAAUCCCGGAGGGCUGACGGUACCGCUAAAGGAAGCCCCGGCUAACUCCGUGCCAGCGGCCGCGGUAAUACGGGGGGGGCAAGCGUUGUUCGGAAUUACUGGGCGUAAAGGGCUCGUAGGCGGCGCGCUAAGUCAGACGUGAAAUCCCCCGGCUCAACCGGGGAACUGCGUCUGAGACUGGCGGGCUUGAAUCCGGGAGAGGGAUGCAGAAUUCCAGGUGUAGCGGUGAAAUGCGUAGAUAUCUGGAGGAAUACCGGUGGCGAAGGCGGCAUCCUGGACCGGCAUUGACGCUGAGGAGCGAAAGCCAGGGGAGCAAACGGGAUUAGAUACCCCGGUAGUCCUGGCCCUAAACGAUGAAUGCUGGGUGUAACGGGUAUCGAUCCCUGUUGUGCCGAAGCUAACGCAUUAAGCAUUCCGCCUGGGGAGUACGGUCGCAA